rnacentral:pre_miRNA from 1 species
GGUAAUUAUAAGGAGCUACCUUCAAUCCAACACACGUGGGGGAGUUGGCACGUGCGGCUGCUGGUUCAUGAAUACCCUUUUUGAGUGUACGCCGUGGACCCGGUGCACUCCGUGGGUGCGCAUGACACAGGAGACGAGCUGGCCCUUUCGAGCUCCUUCUCAUGCUUGGAUUGAAGGGAGCUCCUCUCUUUCUCUCU